rnacentral:rRNA from 1 species
UACGGAGGGUGCAAGCGUUAUCCGGAUUCACUGGGUUUAAAGGGUGCGUAGGUGGGCAGGUAAGUCAGUGGUGAAAUCUCCGGGCUUAACUCGGAAACUGCCAUUGAUACUAUCUUUCUUGAAUACCGUGGAGGUCAGCGGAAUAUGUCAUGUAGCGGUGAAAUGCGUAGAUAUCUGGAGGAACACCGGUGGCGAAGGCGGCAUCCUGGACCAACACUGACGCUGAGGAGCGAAAGCCAGGGGAGCAAACGGG